ensembl:lncRNA
CUCGUGGAAGGCGCUGGCUGCCCUCAGAGGGGAUUGUUACAUCAGGCCCGAGAAGUGGGUUGCAUGCAGCAGCUGCUAUAGUAUCUGCAGCUGCCUUCUGAUGCAAGAUGAAUGACCACUACGGCAGCAGCCCAAAACCAGGUGGACAUUACUCAAACUGCAAGAGUUUGGAGAUUGGUCUGUCUUUAUUAGGAACUUGUUGUUUCUGCAGUCAUGGAGAUGCUUUCAGUACCCCCACAUGCACUGUGCAGCUACUGGCAAAUGAGGAACACAGCACGUGUAUCUGAAGUGAUAACUGGCUUUGGAGAAGAUGGUCUUCACUGAUUUAAUUGUAUGCAUUUGUGAAUACAAUUGUGAAGAUUGCUGACUGGUAACACAGGUUUUUGUUAGCCAUAUUAACCCUCUUACAGUAAUAUAACAAAUUUUGCAUUGGCAAGUAUACAAUUUCACCCAGGUGGGGAGUUCUGCUGUUCAUUUAUUUAGGCAGUGAAGGGCUUAUAAGUUCUGCUGUUCAUUUAUUUAAGCAGUGAAGGGCUUAUACUUUCUGAACAGCAAGAUUUUUCAGAGAAAUAUUCCAUUGUCAUUACCCACUGGCACUUAAAUGAUGACCUUAGAGUCCCUCAUAUGGCCAUGUUUAAGUCACAGAAUUAGCAGCUCUAGGAUGAGGAGCAUUUUUGUGCCUCAAGACAAAAUCACAGCCAUUUGAAUGGCAGCAUUAAGGCAGUGUGAUCAGCGGUAGUGUUGUGCUCUGCACAGCAGAUAUGCAAUUGUAGUCUACAGUGGGUGCAGCUGUGUGCAGGCAGACUUCAUGCAGCCCAAGCAUGGGGCAGGUCCAGGUGAGCCAGUUGUUGUUGUGUUUGCUUUGCAUGAAGCUCUAGGUACAGAAAAUCCAUUGCCACGAUGAGGAGGAGAAUGUGCUAUUCUCUUGUUGGUUUAUUUUUAUGUGCUGGUAUUGCAGACCCUUCAGUAACAAUGCUAAAAGGUUGGAUACUGUUUUCUGAUCCUUCUUUCAAAUCUUUAAAAUGUGUUUUAAAACAAAAAAAAGAUUAAAAACUAAACCUUUAAAUUAACUGAAAGUACAUGGAAAAAAUAGAGUUUCUUGUCCACUGAGAAGUUGGCAGUUAGAACAAAAUAGUAAAACAAAACCACGUGCCAAGUUGUGCCCUUGGAGAAAUUCCCCAAGGAGUCUGCAAUAGUUACUUCUGCAUUGACACUUUCAUUUCUAUAUUCCACAGCUUCUCUAGCACAGAUAGAGAGCCCAGAUCAAUGAUGUAAUUUACCAAUGUAGACCUUAAUUUCUAUUUUUAAGCAAGUAAAAUCAUAAAUUUUUGUGUAGGAGUUUGGGGGCAUCUUGUGAAGGAGCACUGCGGCCUCUGACCACAGGUGGCUAUAAAGCCAGAAUAAAUACUGAUGGGAGAGCAUACUGAAUUUGUAAAAUAUCAAUCCAAGCAGAACAAAAGGAUUCUUUCUAUCUCCUGCCUGAAAAAUACUCUUGAUUCUUCCCCACCCCCAACAGAAGGAAUAAAUGAACAAAGAGUUCAACUGAACUGAGA